GAAAUGCGAUAAGUAGUGUGAAUUGCAGAAUUCAGUGAAUCAUCGAAUCUUUGAACGCACAUUGCGCCCCUUGGUAUUCCAUGGGGCAUGCCUGUUCGAGCGUCAUUUGUACCCUCAAGCUCUGCUUGGUGUUGGGUGUUUGUCCCGUCUCCGCGCGUGGACUCGCCCCAAAGUGAUUGGCAGCCGGCGUACUGGUCCCGGAGCGCAGCACAUGUCGCGCAAACGAGUGCCUUGGUACGGCGGCGUCCAUAAGCCCCUCUCUCACGCUCUUGACCUCGGAUCAGGUAGGGAUACGCGCUGAAGUUAAGC
rnacentral:misc_RNA from 1 species